rnacentral:rRNA from 1 species
UGGGGAAUAUUGGACAAUGGGCGAAAGCCUGAUCCAGCCAUGCCGCGUGUGUGAAGAAGGUCUUCGGAUUGUAAAGCACUUUAAGUUGGGAGGAAGGGCAUUAACCUAAUACGUUAGUGUUUUGACGUUACCGACAGAAUAAGCACCGGCUAACUCUGUGCCAGCAGCCGCGGUAAUACAGAGGGUGCAAGCGUUAAUCGGAAUUACUGGGCGUAAAGCGCGCGUAGGUGGUUUGUUAAGUUGGAUGUGAAAUCCCCGGGCUCAACCUGGGAACUGCAUUCAAAACUGACUGACUAGAGUAUGGUAGAGGGUGGUGGAAUUUCCUGUGUAGCGGUGAAAUGCGUAGAUAUAGGAAGGAACACCAGUGGCAAAGGCGACCACCUGGACUAAUACUGACACUGAGGUGCGAAAGCGUGGGGAGCAAACA